AGUGAACGCUGGCGGUAGGCCUAACACAUGCAAGUCGAACGGCAGCACAGUAAGAGCUUGCUCUUACGGGUGGCGAGUGGCGGACGGGUGAGGAAUACAUCGGAAUCUACUUUUUCGUGGGGGAUAACGUAGGGAAACUUACGCUAAUACCGCAUACGACCUACGGGUGAAAGCAGGGGAUCUUCGGACCUUGCGCGAUUGAAUGAGCCGAUGUCGGAUUAGCUAGUUGGCGGGGUAAGGGCCCACCAAGGCGACGAUCCGUAGCUGGUCUGAGAGGAUGAUCAGCCACACUGGAACUGAGACACGGUCCAGACUCCUACGGGAGGCAGCAGUGGGGAAUAUUGGACAAUGGGCGAAAGCCUGAUCCAGCCAUGCCGCGUGGGUGAAGAAGGUCUUCGGAUUGUAAAGCCCUUUUGUUGGGGAAGAAAAGCAGUAGGUUAAUACCUGGCUGUUUUGACGGUACCCAAAGAAUAAGCACCGGCUAACUUCGUG
rnacentral:rRNA from 1 species